UACAGAGGUCCCGAGCGUUGUUCGGAUUCACUGGGCGUAAAGGGUGCGUAGGUGGCUUGAAAAGUUUGAUGUGAAAGCUCAGGGCUUAACCCUGAAAUGGCAUUGAAUACUGUCGGGCUGGAGGUUUGGAGGGGGGACUGGAAUUCUUGGUGUAGCGGUGAAAUGCGUAGAUAUCAAGAGGAACACCUGAGGUGAAGACGGGUUGCUGGGCUGACACUGACGCUGAGGCGCGAAAGCCAGGGGAGCAAACGGG
rnacentral:rRNA from 1 species